CGUCAUUUAGCCAAAAUGUUCGUUCUGCUACACAAUAGUUACAUUGCAGUAAUAAAUAUUAUCACAUUGACACAGUUUAAAAGGCAAAAUAAUGUGACCGUUUUCAAGUUAAAGGCCUGCAUUAAAGUUUUAUUUACAUAUUGGUCAUUGAAAAAUACCUUAUCUUAGCAGUAAAUAAAACUCAACUCGCUAUCUUUAUAGAUAUAUAAGUCCACUGUAAAAAUUCUACGAAUAACAACAGAUGGUGAAAUUGUGUUAAAUAUGUUGUGACAAAGUCUAUUUCUUUCAGAAAUAAUUCCAAAUGCGUUAAUACACACUGUGGAAAAAUGCCAGCAUGAUUUAAUCAAAUUGCAGCCUGUUACAUCCAUUUUUCGACACGAUUUCGUUAUCUUUGGUGCGUGUGAUGGCAAAUGGUAUUCAGUUGAAAAGAACACCGAAUGUAUUUUAGUUCAGCGAGGUACAAGGGAGGAGGUGUUUAAAUUCAUUUGUGGCAAAGAAAGGAUCUCGAAGGUUUCCUGCAGUCAAGUUGCUAAAGCGCAUUCAGUAGUACGUUUGCUCAUGGAUUGGCUUUUUAAGAACGAAACGGAAAAAGGGUACAGCCUUUUAUACGAAAAUUGCCAGACCUUCGCUAUAAGAGCCUUCGAAUUCUUGCAACGCUGUCUAUCUGAUGUAGCAAAGGAAAUACGUGCUCGACCUUCACUUUGGUUAUCUGUCAUUUACCUCUUCGCAAAAAGACCAGCACAAAUUGCUACAAAACAACCGUCGAAAUCAUAAAAAAGUCUCUACCAACCCCACAAGAAGCAUGUAUUACUGGCAAAGGAUCUGCAAGAGGGAGUCUUUAAUAAUGAGAGAUACAUGAGAUACCUUGAAAAUAAUGCAUGGUCAUGACUAAUCCUCCUGCUAUAUUUCCCAAGGAUGAGGGAACCUUAAAUACCGUGGCAAUACCCUGACAAUAGCACGAACUGUAUUCAAAUGCUUCAGAAUGGAAGCAAUCCAAUCUUGAUCAUACGAACCAUCAUAAUCUUCCCGCUUAAUGAAAAAUAAUAGGAAUUAAAACUACAAAAGGCUGCUUACAAACUGAAAAUUUGAAAUUACGGACACUUGCGGCAAUUUAAAACUAUUGCAAUGACAACGAGUCCGGAUUUUCAUGCAUACGCUAACCGAGUUGUUACUACAUGGUAUACUUAUUUCUUUUAUAUGUGUAUUCUAAGUUAACAUCAGCUGAUAAUGCAGAUCACCAAUCAUUUAAUAUUUUUGCGCUUUCUGCUUUUAAAUUCACGCUUACA